CAAAUGGAAACAAAAUGUGUAUAUAUUUUUUCAGGAAAGAAUAAUAACAGAACUCAAUACUGAUUCCAAAUUUAAUGCCAUAACCAAAAUUUUAGAGCUUGUGAACCUCUUUUGUUUCUUGUUUUUUCUUUUACAGCCACUAAUGCAAACUCCUGGUAAGUGUUUGGAACCGAACUAAAAUACAAUGACUAAUCUGAAAACAUCAUUAAUGACCAUCAUUCCUUACCAACACCACUCCCAACCACAAGAGAGAACUCUUACGAAAGGUUAACAUUUCUAUAGCAUAAGAACUGAAGUGUGACUUAAGUCUCUGGUUUAAAAGGUUUUCCUAUCACUGUGGAAAAGUGGGAAUUGUAUGUUAUUUUGCAAAAAAAAAAAAAAAAAGGCCAGUGAUUCAAACAGAUCUAAAUAAUAGGCA